CUCUGGAGCCAAAGACGACAUCUGUGGCAUGACAAGAGACUUUCUUCUCUGCAGGACAACGAGGCGCCGUGUGAAUUACCUCAGCGGGAGUUGUCCGGGACGUACCUCCAGAGAAAGGCAGGCUGUGUCUUUCCCGUGAGGGACCGACUGCCAACGGGGCAGCCGCAGGGUUUGCUUGAAAGGAAAUAGUCCUGUGGGACCAUUGCUUUAAUGUUCCAGGUUUUUCGAGAAGUGAAAUGGAACUGCACUUAGAAGCAAUAUGACUUCGACACAUCAGAGAGCAUCAGUGUAAUUGCUAACAGUACUUCUCUCCUUUUCUCCUCUUUUAUUGUCUUUUUAACUCUUCACAAAGAUGCUAUUGACUACAACAGAAUGAGAGACUUCAAGUACAGAAAGCAGUAAUAAUGGAAGACUUCAGUUACCUGCGCAUAGACUUACCAUAUGGGCUAUCAUGCAGACAGCACGUGUACCUGUAUAUAUACAUCACUGCUUUUUGAAAUGAAA